rnacentral:rRNA from 1 species
GAUUUCUGGCUUGAAACAUUUUGCCGGCCACGGUUUCGUGUGUUAGUGCUUUGUUCUGUGUCCAUCCUUCCAAUUGCUAUUGGCUAUUCUUCAUUGAUUGGUCAGUAGUAUUGGAUCUUUUACUUUGAAAAAAUUAGAGUGUUUCAAGCAGGCUUUAUGCUAUGAAUACAUUAGCAUGGAAUAAUAAUUUAGGACUUCUGUUCUAUUUUGUUGGUUUCUAGGACUGAAGUAAUGAUUGAUAGGGACAGUUGGGGGUGCUAGUAUUCAGCGGCCAGAGGUGAAAUUCUCGGAUUCGCUGAAGACUAACUUAUGCGAAAGCAUU